rnacentral:rRNA from 1 species
AUUGAACGCUGGCGGCAGGCCUAACACAUGCAAGUCGAGCGGAUGAAGGGAGCUUGCUCCUGGAUUCAGCGGCGGACGGGUGAGUAGUGCCUAGGAAUCUGCCUGGUAGUGGGGGAUAACGUCCGGAAACGGGCGCUAAUACCGCAUACGUCCUGAGGGAGAAAGUGGGGGAUCUUCGAACCUCACGCUAUCAGAUGAGCCUAGGUCGGAUUAGCUAGUUGGUGGGGUAAAGGCCUACCAAGGCGACGAUCCGUAACUGGUCUGAGAGGAUGAUCAGUCACACUGGAACUGAGACACGGUCCAGACUCCUACGGGAGGCAGCAGUGGGGAAUAUUGGACAAUGGGCGAAAGCCUGAUCCAGCCAUGCCGCGUGUGUGAAGAAGGUCUUCGGAUUGUAAAGCACUUUAAGUUGGGAGGAAGGGCAGUAAGUUAAUACCUUGCUGUUUUGACGUUACCAACAGAAUAAGCACCGGCUAACUUCGUG